AACGAACGCUGGCGGCAUGCCUAACACAUGCAAGUCGAACGAGACCUUCGGGUCUGUUGGCGCCCGGCUGCGUAACGCCGCGGGAGCUGCCGUUAUGCUCUGAAUAAUUCCUAGAAGUUUGAUGUAAUACCGGCUGAUACCUUCGGACCAAAGAUUUAUUGUCUUUCGAUGGGCCCGCGUUGGAUUAGCUAGUUGGUUGGGUAACGGCCCACCAAGGCGACGAUCGAUAGCUGGUCUGAGAGGAUGAUCAGCCACACUGGGACUGAGACACGGCCCAGACUCCUACGGGAGGCAGCAGUGGGGAAUAUUGGACAAUGGGCGAAACCCUGAUCCAGCCAUGCCGCGUGAGUGAUGAAGGCCUUAGGGUUGUAAAGCUCUUUUCCCCGAGACGAUAAUGACGGUACCGGGAGAAUAAGCCCCGGCUAACUUCGUG
rnacentral:rRNA from 1 species